rnacentral:lncRNA from 1 species
UAUUUUGACCAAUCCCAAAAUUUUCCACCUGUUAAACAAUCAAUAAAUUCACACCAACUGCCAGAAUAUCUCAAGUAACCAAUCUCAAUUCUAGGUUCUCAGUUUCAACUAGAUAUCAGAGUAUUUUCUAAAUUUUUCAGGGUUGUAAGGAUUUUCUACAACACUCUACCUGACUUUGAGGCGCGGAAGCUAUGAAUGGCCCGGUGGUGGAUCCCGCGUACUUCUACGGCCUUGGGGCGAAAAACAGGUUGAAAAUGUGAGUGGACAAAAACAAUGUUCUUGAAAACAAUUUUUAUAAACAUAAUAACCCCCAUUAAAGAAAUAAGAAUAUAUCUAAAUCG